ACGGGGUGCAGCAGGCGCGAAAACUUCACACUGUGCGAAAGCGCGAUGAGGGAAUCCCAAGUGCUUGCUCGUAAGAGUAAGCUGUUUUUAUGUUUAAAACGCAUAGAGAGUAAGAGCUGGGUAAGACGGGUGCCAGCCGCCGCGGUAAUACCUGCAGCUCGAGUGGUGGCCGCUAUUAUUGGGCCUAAAACGUCCGUAGCCGGUUUAAUAAAUGCCUGGGUAAAUCGUGUAGCUCAACUAUACGAAUUCCAGGUAGACUGUUAAACUUGGGACUGGGAGAAGCUAGAGGUACUCCUGGGGUAGAGGUGAAAUUCUGUAAUCCUAGGGGGACCACCAGUGGCGAAGGCGUCUAGCUAGAACGGGUCUGACGGUGAGGGACGAAGCCCUGGGGCGCAAACCGGAUUAGAUACCCGGGUAGUCCAGGGUGUAAACGCUGCUUGCUUGAUGUUAGUCGGGCUCCGAGCCCGAUUAGUGUCGGAGAGAAGUUGUUAAGCAAGCUGCCUGGGAAGUACGGCCGCAAGACUGAAACUUAAAGGAAUUGGCGGGG
rnacentral:rRNA from 1 species